rnacentral:rRNA from 1 species
AUUGAACGCUGGCGGCAGGCCUAACACAUGCAAGUCGAGCGGAUGAAGGGAGCUUGCUCCUGGAUUCAGCGGCGGACGGGUGAGUAAUGCCUAGGAAUCUGCCUGGUAGUGGGGGAUAACGUCCGGAAACGGGCGCUAAUACCGCAUACGUCCUGAGGGAGAAAGUGGGGGAUCUUCGGACCUCACGCUAUCAGAUGAGCCUAGGUCGGAUUAGCUAGUUGGUGGGGUAAAGGCCUACCAAGGCGACGAUCCGUAACUGGUCUGAGAGGAUGAUCAGUCACCCUGGAACUGAGACACGGUCCAGACUCCUACGGGAGGCAGCAGUGGGGAAUAUUGGACACUGGGCGAAAGCCUGGUCCAGCCAUGCCGCGUGUGUGAAGAAGGUCUUCGGAUUGUAAAGCACUUUAAGUUGGGAGGAAGGGCAGUAAGUUAAUACCUUGCUGUUUUGACGUUACCAACGGAAUAAGCACCGGCUAACUUCGUG